rnacentral:rRNA from 1 species
GACGUAGGAUGCGAGCGUUGUCCGGAUUUAUUGGGCGUAAAGAGUUCGUAGGUGGUUCAUUAAGUCUGAUGUAAAAGGCUCGGGCUCAACCCGAGUAUCGCAUUGGAUACUGGUGGACUAGAGUGCAGUAGAGGCAAGCGGAAUUCCCAGUGUAGCGGUGAAAUGCGUAGAUAUUGGGAAGAACACCGGUGGCGCAAGCGGCUUGCUGGGCUGUAACUGACACUGAGGAACGAAAGCUAGGGGAGCAAAUGGG